AUACUGUACUGCACAUAUUGACUUUUCAGCAAGCUGAAACUAUCUUCUGUUUACUUCAGAGUAUCUACUCAACAGUGUAAACUGAUAAAAUGUUGAAAUUCACAUUGACGUUAUUUGUGCUUGUUUCUUGUAGUGUCGACAUUUCAAAAGCUUUCGAUGUUGGAAAUGUGACAACGCUUUGACGUUUGAAGAUUGCACCAACAAAGGACAAAGUGUAGAAUGCGAUGGCGAGAAUGGCGGGUGCUUCACCGAAAUCAGAUUUAACGUGGGUUUAAUUCCACCAAUCAGACUCACAACAAGAUGCAAACAAGGCAAUGAAUGCAGCAAAAACGAAUAUCGGAAUGUAAAAGAAUGCAAGUCUAGAAACCCGAUCUGCAGAUGUUGCUGCGUGGGAGAAGAUUGUAAUAAACCGGAAUUGUGAUGUUUUCCAAGUUUGAACAAAAGAUCAACCAGGCAAAAGAAACUAUUUAAAGGAACCGGAAUCUCUACUGUUUCGAUAUGGAUCAAAUAAAUUUAUAUCUUCCAAAAAUAAAAA